AGUGGGGAAUAUUGCACAAUGGAGGAAACUCUGAUGCAGCGACGCCGCGUGAAUGAUGAAGGCUUUCGAGUCGUAAAAUUCUGUCCUUGGGGACGAUGAUGACGGUACCCAAGGAGGAAGCCCCGGCUAACUACGUGCCAGCAGCCGCGGUAAUACGUAGGGGGCGAGCGUUGUCCGGAAUUAUUGGGCGUAAAGGGUUCGCAGGCGGCCUUUUAAGUCAGAUGUUAAAUCUCACGGCUUAACCGUGAUAAGCAUUUGAAACUGGAGGGCUUGAGUUAAGGAGAGGAAAGUGGAAUUCCUAGUGUAGCGGUGAAAUGCGUAGAUAUUAGGAGGAAUACCGGUGGCGAAGGCGACUUUCUGGACUUAUACUGACGCUGAGGAACGAAAGCAUGGGGAGCAAACAGGAUUAGAUACCCUGGUAGUCCAUGCCGUAAACGAUGAGUGCUAGGUGUUGGGGGUCAAACCUCGGUGCCGCAGCUAACGCAUUAAGCACUCCGCCUGGGGAGUACGUACGCAAGUAUGAAACUCAAAGGAAUUGACGGGGACCCGCACAAGCAGCGGAGCAUGUGGUUUAAUUCGAAGCAACGCGAAGAACCUUACCAGGACUUGACAUGGUAUUGGCCGGUCUAGAGAUAGAUCUUUCCCUUCGGGGACAAUACACACAGGUGGUGCAUGGUUGUCGUCAGCUCGUGUCGUGAGAUGUUGGGUUAAGUCCCGCAACGAGCGCAACCCCUAUUUUUAGUUGCUAACAAGUUAAGUUGAGCACUCUAGAGAGACUGCCGAUGACAAAUCGGAGGAAGGUGGGGAUGACGUCAAAUCAUCAUGCCCUUUAUGUCCUGGGCUACACACGUGCUACAAUGGUCGGUACAACGAGAAGCCACUUAGCGAUAAGGAGCAAAUCUCUAAAAGCCGAUCCCAGUUCGGAUUGUAGGCUGCAACUCGCCUACAUGAAGUUGGAGUUGCUAGUAAUCGCAGAUCAGAAUGCUGCGGUGAAUGCGUUCCCGGGUCUUGUACACACCGCCCGUCACACCAUGGAAGUUGGCAAUACCCGAAGCCAGUGAGCUAACCGUAAGGAAGCAGCUGUCGAAGGUAGGGUUAAUGACUAGGGUG
rnacentral:rRNA from 1 species